UACGUAGGGAGCAAGCGUUGUUCGGAUUUACUGGGCGUAAAGGGCGCGUAGGCGGCAAUUCAAGUCAUCUGUGAAAUCUCCGGGCUUAACUCGGAACUGUCAGAUGAUACUGCUUUGCUAGAGUGCAGAAGGGGCAAUCGGAAUUCUUGGUGUAGCGGUGAAAUGCGUAGAUAUCAAGAGGAACACCUGAGGUGAAGACGGGUUGCUGGGCUGACACUGACGCUGAGGUGCGAAAGCGUGGGGAGCAAACAGG
rnacentral:rRNA from 1 species